rnacentral:rRNA from 1 species
GACGAACGCUGGCGGCGUGCCUAAUACAUGCAAGUCGAACGGUCUUUUCUAUGGAAGCUUGCUUCCGCUGAGAAGAUAGUGGCGAACGGGUGAGUAACACGUGGGUAACCUGCCUGGUAGAGGGGGAUAGCCUUCCGAAAGGAAGAUUAAUACCGCAUAACAUGAUUUCAGGGCAUCCUGAAACCAUCAAAGGAGCAAUCCGCUAUCAGAUGGGCCCGCGUCCCAUUAGCUAGUUGGUGAGGUAACGGCUCACCAAGCGACGAU